UCUCCGUUGGUGAACCAGCGGAGGGAUCAUUACCGAGUUUACAACUCCCAAACCCCUAUGUGAACGUUACCAAACUGUUGCCUCGGCGGGAAAUUCAUGCCCCGGGCGCGUCGCAGCCCCGGACCAAGGCGCCCGCCGGAGGACCAACCAAAACCCUUUUGUAUGUCCCUCGCGGACUUUUAUAAUUCUGAACCAUCUCGGCGCCCCUAGCGGGCGUUUCGAAAAUGAAUCAAAACUCUCAACAACGGAUCUCUUGGUUCUG
rnacentral:misc_RNA from 1 species